AUUGAACGCUGGCGGCAGGCCUAACACAUGCAAGUCGAGCGGAUGAAGGGAGCUUGCUCCUGGAUUCAGCGGCGGACGGGUGAGUAAUGCCUAGGAAUCUGCCUGGUAGUGGGGGAUAACGUCCGGAAACGGGUGCUAAUACCGCAUACGUCCUGAGGGGGAAAGUGGGGGAUCUUCGGACCUCACGCUAUCAGAUGAGCCUAGGUCGGAUUAGCUAGUUGGUGGGGUAAAGGCCUACCAAGGCGACGAUCCGUAACUGGUCUGAGAGGAUGAUCAGUCACACUGGAACUGAGACACGGUCCAGACUCCUACGGGAGGCAGCAGUGGGGAAUAUUGGACAAUGGGCGAAAGCCUGAUCCAGCCAUGCCGCGUGUGUGAAGAAGGUCUUCGGAUUGUAAAGCACUUUAAGUUGGGAGGAAGGGCAGUAAGUUAAUACCUUGCUGUUUUGACGUUACCAACAGAAUAAGCACCGGCUAACUUCGUG
rnacentral:rRNA from 1 species